UACGUAGGUGACAAGCGUUAUCCGGAAUUACUGGGCGUAAAGCGCACGCAGGCGGCGCGGUAAGUCUGAUGUGAAAUCUCCCGGCUUAACUGGGAGGGGUCAUUGGAAACUGCCGAGCUUGAGGCGAUGAGAGGGAUGUAGAAUUCCCGGUGUAGUGGUGGAAUGCGUAGAUAUCGGGAGGAAUACCAGUGGCGAAGGCGGCGAUCUGGGAAGAUACUGACGCUGAGGUGCGAAAGCGUGGGGAGCAAACAGG
rnacentral:rRNA from 1 species